rnacentral:lncRNA from 1 species
AAGCCAGGACCCAUGGAGUCUGAUCUACAACACAAGCAGUAGCAGUUCCACAUCUCCCUACCACCUCUUAUUUCCUACGAAGUCUUUCUGCCUGAAACUGGAAAACCCGAACUAUUAUUGAGGAAGUGAAGCCCUUCCAUUUGAAUCCUGAGAAAGACGCGCUCAAAGAACCCAGCGAACAAAGGAGAGGGUUGGAGCCCACGCAAAACAUGGGUGUGAUAAAGCCACACGCGACCUGAGCCCCCACCCUCAGUAACUACUCUCCAGCGCCCACCGGGAGGAGGGGUCCGGGGAAAGGAUUGGCAUCCUCUGCUUCUGCAGAAAACAUGGCUACCAACAGCUUCUGUAUCCACCUGCGGAGGAGACUGACUGCUCUGUUAUUCCCCCAGCAUCUGUGAAGAGGCUCUGACUGGCUAAAGUGUUGGUAUAGUGAUCACCCCAGGGUUAGGCAACCAUGGCUGGUGAAAAGGAAAAACGUUAUGAACCUGGCUGUGCGGAGCUACCUGAGGAAGCUUGUAGGAGAAGGGAAGGAGUCUGUAGCUUUAGGGGAAGACAGAGCCACAAGAUGGAAGGAGCUUGGAUGUCUGAACUAUUCCAUGGAGAAAAGCUGCAGCCAACGAAGAACACCUGCAAUGGACUCUUAACCUGGGGGUGACGACAACCACUGAAAUAUGCUGCAUCUUAGUCCAGGGAUUUUUAAAGUGUGGUUCCUGGAAGAGCUGGAUCAGAGUCAUCUGUGUUGAUGGUUUAACAUAAAGAUUUUCGAGCCCCAAGACUCAAGUAGGACAAGGAAUUUGAAUUUUUAAGCAGCUCACCUGACUUGUCUGUCCUCUAAUGUCUGAAGACAUCUGACCUCUGCUCUUUCAGUAAAAGCAACAAUGGUUUUAUGAGCAUUGUCGUCACAUCUCUCCACUCAAGGGAUCCUUCUCAUUUCUCCCAGCUGAGGUCACCCACAGCUGCUGCUUCUAACUGCUGGCUUCCAGCCUGCUGUCUGCCAGCUGGCUCUACCCUCUCCUAUAACACGGCAGAGAGUAGCUGUGGUCUCCUGCGUGCUCACCCUCUGCUCCCUUGGUCCUGCUCCAUGCUUUGGUCCUGCACUUAAAUUUUACAAGCAUACUCUCUUUCUCUUAAGAUAUGUAUCCAAAGGAGACGAAACUCAUGUGUUGAAGAGAUAUCCGCACCCCCAUGUUUGUUGCAGCAUUACUCACAGUAGCAAGCUAUGAAAUUGACCUGAGUGGCCAUCAACAGAUGAAUGGAUAAAGAAAAUGUACGUAUACACAAUGGAAUACUAUUCGGCCAUGAAAAAAACAAAGAAAUUCUGUUAUAUGUUACAACGUGGAUUAACCUGGAGGAUGUUAUGUUAGGUAAAAUAAGGCACGGAAAGACAAUACUGUAUAAUCUCACUCGUGUGUGGAAUCUAAGCAAGUUGAACUCAUAGAAGAAAAGAGUAGAAUGGUAUUUAUCUGAGGCUGGAGCUAUUGGACGUGGCAAGGAGGUGAUGUUGGACAAAACCGAAAUUUCAGUUACACGGGAGGAAUACGUUCAAGGGAUCUAUCGUACAACAUCAUGACUAUAGUUAAUGAUACAUUACAUUUUUGAAAAAUGCUAAGACAGUGGAUAUUAUAUGUUCUCACCACAAAAAUGAUAACUGUAAGGUAACGUGUAUGUCAAUUAAAUAGAUUUAG